rnacentral:rRNA from 1 species
GCAAGUCGAACGCGAAAGCGCCUUCGGGUGUGAGUAGAGUGGCGGACGGGUGAGUAACGCGUGGGAAUCUGCCCUGCAGUGGGGGACAACCCGAGGAAACUCGGGCUAAUACCGCAUACGUCCUACGGGAGAAAGGGGGCCUUUGGCUCUCGCUGCAGGAUGAGCCCGCGUCCGAUUAGCUAGUUGGUGGGGUAACGGCCUACCAAGGCGACGAUCGGUAGCUGGUCUGAGAGGAUGAUC